CUGUGGUGUAGUAAAUUACUGAAUGUUUACAUGCAAUUAGGUGUGUGCCUAUGGAGGAGAAGACACCAGGAAACAGGAUUUUCCUGAGGUAGUUGCUAGUUCAGAGGCCCAGUGCCACUGCAGUAGCUGUUGUCAGGAAGGACUGAGUGGCAGUUCUAAUUACCAGUGUCUACACAGGUUUCUCAUAGGAAGAUACAAGCUGUCACGAUCCCUUGCCAAUCACAUGAGAACUGACCUAGGGAGAACAUCAACCGAAGACAGGAAAUGAGCAUUCCUGCAUGAAUAGGAAGUGCAGGCAACUUGAACUCACAAGAAAGAAAUCAUAAAGUGACUUCUCUCUAUAAAAAGGGGAAGACUUGUGGAAAAGACACCAUUUUUGUGCCUGGCUCAGUGAAAGCUAGAAAGCAAAUCUCUUCACACUCCUUGAGAGAGAAGGUUGUGUCCAGACUUGAAAAUUAAGAUUUAGAAAGUCCCACGGCCUGUCUGAGCUUUACACUGGGAGGAAUACGAGCUGCCUGAGCAGAGGAUGAAUGUUGUCUUGGGUCACCAUCAAGAUCUUGACCUGCCUAACUGAUGUGACUCAGGGAAAGAGGGAAAAGACUGGGAAAAAAGUGCUGGGCACGCAUGCUUUGACUGUGGUCAUCAUAACGAUAAUUGGCUGGUCUUUGUGGAAGCUGGAUUCUUUAUUUCAUAUAAAUAAAAAGUCCACAAGAAUAGCUUCUAAUAUUUGAAGACAAAUGCUGCUGGCAUCUCUGGUGCUAUUUCCUUUUCCCAUCCUGAGCGUGCACGGAGCCAUUCCCAGAGAGUUGGAGCUCUUCCACAAGAUGGUGCCGAGCUCUGUCGCUCACAAGUGGUGCGUAAUUGAAAUACGGCACACAUCCUCCUGGGGAAGGAAGAGGUAAGCCAAGAAAACAGGCCGUGAUAGUCAGAGGUGUUUAAUAUACAAAUAAGAAGUUGUUUCAUAAGUAUCUUAUAAAAACUCCAAUUUACUUCCCAAUAUUUUAGCAGAUUAUCUCAACGAAAACAGCAGAUGUAUUUUGGAGCGACGAGACAAAUGUUUAGUGAAAUUAAAGUUAUUCAUGUGCAGUCACACAGGGAAUAUUUGCAUGAUAUUUUACUAAUUGCUCCAAAAUCUGACUUGUAGCAAAUAAACAAACAUAGGAGAAAAAAUAAGCCAGCAGAAAGAUUAGCCCCAGGCUUCUCUGCCUCUCUUCUAAGUCCUCACAGCCUUUCUUCAACUGCUCAACUUUUUUUUCUCCGGAAGCACAACGUUAUUUCCUAGGGUCCAAUCACUCUUCUCAGGCCCUCCUGGUUUUCCCCCCGCUAUCUAAAUCCCUUCCCAAACGAUCCUAUUUUCAUCUUCCCUUUGAGCCCAAAUUUUCAGCCCAGUUUCUGAGUGAAAGGCAUCCACUGCUGAGCUGGCGUGAGGGAGAAUUUUCUUAAGUGCAGGGAAAACACUUUGCUAUUUCAGCUAACGCAUUUGUGUAGGAUUAACAAUGCAGAAAAAUCUAAUGCCAAAGCAGUGGAGCGCUCAUUGCAGCCAGGAGCUUAGACUGGAGUUCCUUCAACCUUCUGUGAAGAGUUUCAAGUUACAGCAGCAAAAAUCAAGUUGUCAUUGCUGAUUGUUAUGACAUUAUUUUAUGUCAGAUCUGUUUAUUUGCCCUCCUGGAAAAAGAGAAUGUAUUUCAAGACGUCAAAAUAUUUUGUUUGCCUUCAUUCAGUUGCAAGAGAAGCCUAAGGUGAGGUAGGAAAAUGUGCAUUUAUCACAUUUUGAUGUGAUGUAUACAACUAUGUAUUUGUAUAUGCUCUAUACUGAAUGAGGAUGCCAGACAACAAGUUCUGGAAAAUUAGCGAAGGUUGGGAUUAAAAUUGACACGUCCUAUCUAGAAUCUUUAUGGACUGCAGGAGCAUGUGAGCAGAUCACUGGGGGUGUCAAGCCCUCAGUUUCAUGGAAGCACUGUUUUUUGCCCAAGGCGUGGAGUAUCUAGCAACGAUGGGCAUCUGUUGGCUUCUUCCUAUCAGUCACUGUAGGUGGAUAUGAAUUUUUUUUUUUUUUGCAUGACCUCUAGAGCUACAGCUCAAGAGUUGUUGUCCAUGGGGGAGCAGGAGCUCCAAGUUGCCAUUCCUCACAAUUGGUGCAUUUUGGUUUGGCUGAGGCCCAUCAGGUCCUGGUGAACUACCUGUGCUGCACACCUCCUGGCUCCUUCUACGUGGGUAUGCAGAAGCCUUCUUCUCCUGCUGGUCAUGAGCAAAUGGUGAAUGGGGAGUGUUGAGCUUUGGACAUGGGUUAGUGUCAAGGAGUCCAUAAAUCAUGGGAUCAGCCAUACAUCCAAAUGGUUCUUCAGAUACAGUAAUUUUACAGGAUCUUUUAUGUUUUAACUUGCAGUAACACAAAAGGUGACUACUGCAUGUUCUGAACAAAAAGGUAAAACCAAAGGAGAAAACAGCUGUUUUGUUAUGGUUCUCUUUUUCUUUAAAGAGGGUUUUCUAUUUCUGAUGGUUACAUGUUGAACUCGCUUUAUUUGGCCCCUCCCAUUUUCAGGUCACCACAGGAAUAUGUAAAAAGGAAAUGUUUUAUUUUAACAGAGUUGAACAAAGUACACAAAACACACCCUUCCCAUUGCCUAACGUUCCUCAAGUUAAAUUGCAGAGCCCAGCAUAACUUUUCCUCUUGGUCUUUUAUUUCAUUGAAAAGGGCCCAGAAUGUAAUAUUCAUGCAGGAAGCAUAAAUUGUAUUGCUGGAAGCAAUAGCAACCUCGAAGCAAAAUCCCUCAGGAUCACUGUGCUCAGGAGCGUGCAGGCUGCUCCUGGCCCAACAAGUUUCCUCAGUGCCGUGCUUGUGUCUUUACACAGCCUAAGCUAUAGGAUUUCUUUGCUGCAUGGUUUUCCUGACAUUUUGGCCCUCGUAGACAGUUCUUGGUUUCAGGAGUAACUGCUAGACUCUUGCCCAACCAUCCCACUCUGGGCCAUCCCUUUCAGUAUGCAUGAGUAACUCCCACGAAUGUAAAUAAAAGUUAUGUGCACGCAUCAAGGGGAAAUGGAUCCAUUUGUCAUGGCUCCAGACAAGCAGCAUCUCCCCAAGGAGCUACUUACGAGGCUAUUGAGAAGCCAGCAGCAAUGCGUGAUAGGCUGCACCUUCUUCCAUGUGUGUUGCAGAAAUUAUUGGCAUGUUGCUGAUGUUUACGGCGAACAAAUAGUUUAUUUCUGGGCUAAGAAAGAUUCCAGUGUAAAUACUCAACUGGCAGCUAGCUGGAAGUUUGCCACUUGAAGCUAAAAGGCCCAUGACCAAUGGUGUCAGAUUAACAUUUCCAAGUUGGACAAUGUACAAAUGGUGUUCUUGGACUGGAAUAGAAAUAGAUGAAAGUGGUCUGCUGCAGUGCAAAUAACAAACUGGCAACCAGCUGGCCAUUGGAAAGAGAACAUACUAUGGGAAUAUGCUUUCUGCAGAAAUACUUUAUUUUGGAGAUAAGCAUUAACAAUAAGAAGAUGAGGCUCAUUUAACAAGAACCAUAUGGUCUCAUCCUGCUUUUAUUUCACUCAGUAGCAAAGCUCUGAUGAUCUUUUGUGUGUGCAAGAUAGGGAUUGCUGUUAAUAAAUAAGCAAAACAGAUUCAAGGUAGUUGUUUGAAAUUGAAAAGAAACAGUAAUGCCUGAUCUACUGUUGCUUUUUAAAAGGUAUGAAAGGGAUAGUUUUAAUCCACAAAAUGCUAUUUCAGGAGACAGUAACUGAAAGGAAGUGCUAUUAAAGGUGUUUGUUGGAAAACAACUUCUGAUAAAAUCAGGUGAAGAUCCACUCAAGAUUGAGUUAUCAACCCGUGUGAAACCAAUACACAAAUUUCUCCAAGCUGAUUUGUGGCUGGGUUCAUUCCAUAAAAAUGUUUGUAUUUUUGUGGUGAGAAAACAACACCCUUUUUAAAAGUAGUUUUAACUACACAAUUUGUUCUAUUAGCAACUUAAUCAGAGGUAACAGCAUUUCACACUCUUGUUUCAAUGUAAUAGCAAAAUUGAGUGAUGCAAAAAGAAAAAAGCAAUCUGUGGGUACUGCACUGCAAAAUCCUGCUUUGGGAGCUUUUCAAGGAUGUAAAACAUUGUCUAGAGCUUUUUACUUUUAUGGGUAGGAAGUAAAAAAGAAGCAAAGAGGAGAAAUCUCAUUCGUACCACAGUUGGAAAGUUGCAGUAAAAAUGAUAAAACUCAUCACUGCUAACUAAUUUUUAUUUCAUUUAAUUUUUUUAUAGCAGCUGAACUUUGUUGUUUUGGUUGCAAGAAAGCAGCAAGAGGGAAGCUUCAUUUAUCAUAAAGAUAAAUAAAAAAAUAAGAUUUGAACAUGGAAAAAAUGUGCAGAUCUUGUACUCAGCAGUUCACUUCUGCCUUUGGAGAUAAGUACUAAUCCCAUUGAUUUCCAUAUGCCUGAAAACAGCUCAGCAAUAUCAAAAUUGCAUUAUAUUACACAUUUAGAUAUGGAGCAGAAAUGCUGAGUCAUGGCCUGAAGCAGUGAUUGAGCACCUUGUGAGAAGGCAGGGCCAACCCAGGGGAACUCAGGUGUAUGCAAUGUACCUGAGUGACCAGAAGGUGUGGAGCCAGAAUCCUUCCCAGACCUUAUUUAAGGGUUGGCAGUGAAGGAAAGGGGGUUCUGUUGGAGACUUGAGGUCUUCUGAAGGUAAGCAGAUUCUUUCCUUUGUUCUGUGUCCAUUGCUGUUGCAUUUGAACAUAUCCUUACUUGCUGUAUCCUAAGACUUUGCUACUAUGCUGUCA